rnacentral:rRNA from 1 species
UACGGAGGGGGCUAGCGUUGUUCGGAAUUACUGGGCGUAAAGCGCACGUAGGCGGCGAUUUAAGUCAGAGGUGAAAGCCCGGGGCUCAACCCCGGAAUAGCCUUUGAGACUGGAUUGCUAGAAUCUUGGAGAGGCGAGUGGAAUUCCGAGUGUAGAGGUGAAAUUCGUAGAUAUUCGGAAGAACACCAGUGGCGAAGGCGACUGACUGGACAAGUAUUGACGCUGAGGCGCGAAAGCCAGGGGGAGCAAAACGGGG